rnacentral:rRNA from 1 species
GAGUUUGAUCCUGGCUCAGAACGAACGCUGGCGGCAGGCCUAACACAUGCAAGUCGAACGCCCGUAGCAAUACGGGAGUGGCAGACGGGUGAGUAACGCGUGGGAACGUACCCUUUGGUUCGGAACAACUCCGGGAAACUGGAGCUAAUACCGGAUGAGCCCUACGGGGGAAAGAUUUAUCGCCGAAGGAUCGGCCCGCGUCGGAUUAGCUUGUUGGUGAGGUAACGGCUCACCAAGGCGACGAUCCGUAGCUGGUCUGAGAGGAUGAUCAGCCACACUGGGACUGAGACACGGCCCAGACUCCUACGGGAGGCAGCAGUGGGGAAUAUUGGACAAUGGGCGCAAGCCUGAUCCAGCCAUGCCGCGUGAGUGAUGAAGGCCUUAGGGUUGUAAAGCUCUUUCGCCAGGGACGAUAAUGACGGUACCUGGAUAAGAA